CCUACGGGAGGCAGCAGUAGGGAAUAUUGGACAAUGGACGCAAGUCUGAUCCAGCCAUCCCGCGUGAAGGAUUAAGGCCCUAUGGGUUGUAAACUUCUUUUCUUUGGGAGUAAAAAGCGGUAUUCAUAUCGCCUUGAAGGUACCAGAGGAAUAAGCACCGGCUAACUCCGUGCCAGCAGCCGCGGUAAUACGGAGGGUGCAAGCGUUAUCCGGAUUCACUGGGUUUAAAGGGUGCGUAGGUGGCUUUGUAAGUCAGCGGUGAAAGCCUGGAGCUCAACUCCAGAAUUGCCAUUGAUACUGCAGAGCUUGAAUCAAGUUGAGGUGGAUGGAAUAUUACAUGUAGCGGUGAAAUGCUUAGAUAUGUAAUAGAACACCGAUUGCGAAGGCAGUUCACUAAGCUUGUAUUGACACUGAGGCACGAAAGCGUGGGGAUCAAACAGGAUUAGAUACCCUGGUAGUCCACGCCCUAAACGAUGCAAACUCGACAUUAGCGAUAUACAGUUAGUGUCCAAGCGAAAGCGUAAGUUGCCNCNGAGACGACGCGAGUAGAACGACAAGAGUAGUAGACGNGAGAGAGACGACGACGACGACGAGGAGGGAGGAGG
rnacentral:rRNA from 1 species